CUAAGAGAAGUAACGGAUUCAAAAUUCAUAAAAAGUGACACAAUGAGGGGACUUAUGGCUUAAAUCCCCCAAGGGAUCUAAGUAGCCCCGACCUGGAUUUACCACCCUGCUCGGAAAGGGGUACCAGCUAAACUCCACCUAGCGUAUCAAAUCCAUGUUAUCCAGUCUUAUGCAAAUGCAAGAGUGGUAGGGGAUAGAAAAGGAAAUGGGUAUCAAACCCGACUAUGAAUGGUACUAUGCUUAUGCAAAGUAAACUAUCCCUCUAUGUUAUAAAAGAAAAAAAAAAAAAAUCUAUAUGCUGACUCAAGGCUAUGCAUGUGUAAGUAAGGCCAAUCAGGACUGGCCAAUAGUCACUGUAAAGUGAGCAAGGCUUAUUUAUUAUAAUUUAAAAAGUGACCCCUUUAAAGGAAUCAUGCAUUAAUUUUUUUAAAAAAAAUUGGUUAAUUUUAAUCAUAUAUUCACUUUUUAUCUUGCUUAAAUAAAAUUUAACUUUAUAGAAAAUUUAACAUCCUAAAGAGCCUAACGUUGACUCCGUCCGAGCCACACCCAAACAAAGUGAUUUAAGAAACCUAGGAAAAAGCAUGCAGUUCUAAUGCGCAAACAAAGAAAACACAACAAGCCAGCAAAAUAGAGUUUCCAAAGUCCAUGGCAAGUGCCAUUCAAUAUACAACCAAAGUACAGAAAAGUAGUGGUGGCCAGGCUCCACCGACAACAACCUGGGUUCUAUCCCUAUGGAAUGACGCAAGUCUUAAAAAAAUGAGGUAUUUUAUUUAUCUUUAGUUUCUUUCCCUUCAGGCUCCUUGUGUUGCACCAUCCAAUAGGAUAUCCAAAUGAGAAGAAAUUCCCUAUAAAGGGUUUUCUUUUCGCUUUGGAUCCCUAACACAUCAAAAUAUCUCAUUUUUAAGCUUUCACAACACUUUAGAUCAAAUUACAUUUUAAAGAAAAUUACAUUGACUCCCUACAAAAAAUACAUAUUAGCACAAUUAUAAUAAUAAUAAUAAUAAAAAAAAUCACACAUCAUCCAGAACCUAGUCCUUAGGGCCAUAUUCCCAAUGGGCUUUUUAGCAUUCGUCGCAGUACCUAUUAAAGAGCAUAUUUAUGAUGAGAGCAUUUUUUAUAUUGCCCUUUAGAAAUAUGACCACCUGCAAAAGAUAUUUUUAAAAAAAGAUAUAACCACUUAAGGACAAGUGCCCACUCAUCAAUCAAAAAGGAAGAGAAAACAACCAAAGAAAACAAACCAAGCCAGAAACAAACAUCACAUCAUCACAUAUGUAAAAUGUAAAAGAAAGAAAGUGUAAAAGGGUUAUCCUAGCUACACCCUACCCUAGGAUGCCUAUAAAAAAAGUGUCCUAUCCAGCACCUAAGUGUGUGCAAAAAGGUGUACUUAACUACCCCAAAUUAGGUGAGUGGUUUGAGUUACAAAGUUGAGUUCUUAUGGUUUAAUUUAUUAGCCCUCAAGUUUUUAUUUAAUUGCUUAGCCAUUUGGGGUGAAUUAAUUAAAGCUUAAAUUAGGGAUUAAAAUUUGAGUUAUUAAAUUAUCAAGAGCCUAAAGGCUUAGGCCCUAACCUAUACUAAGAUUAUAAAGAAUUGAGGGGCAAAUAACUCAUCCUCAAUCCUACUCCUAAUUAAGGUUGAGAUUAUUAAAAAAGGUGGCAAGGGUUGGUUAAUCCUUGGCAAGGGUUGGUUAAUCCUUCCCUUGAUAAUAAUCUAGGACUCGAGGAAUGGCUAAGGGUGACACCACUAAGGUGGGCCUACUACCCACCAUAAAAAGAAAAUCCUAAGCUUCCUAUGUCUAAGGUAAAUUUAUUUUUAGAGGCUGACAUGAGAGUGGAAUGACACGCUAUCUAUAGAAAUGUACAUGGGUUCUACCUGACCUAAGUUAUAACACUUGGGUGACUAAGGUAGUUGGUUUAGGUUAAUAAAGAUGGAUUUAAUCUUUUCUAAGGUAGGGGCAAUUUACAUAGAGAUUUGCAUAUUUUUUAAGCUAAAGCACAAAAGUGAAUGUAAAUUCCAUAUAGGUUAAGGCACUAAGGCAUAUCUUGAAAUUCCUUUCCUCCUCCAAUAGGUUUAUUUUGGGUUGCUUACAAUUAAGAAACUUUAGUUUAAGUUCAAAUAUUAAUGUCUUAAUGCUUUGUUAAACACUAGAAGAUUGGUCGAAGAGAUUUUAAUGAUCUUAAUUUAGUUUCACCUUAAUUAAUGUAGAUUAUUAUAAACGAUUUAGUUAAUAGUUGAUAAGAGAUGUAUUUUAUAAAUUUUAGGCUUCUAUUCGACUAGUUAAGGACUUUUAAAGUUGCAUGUUGGUUAAGGGGUUGCAAUCAUGAAGCUAAUCAAAAGAAGCUACCUAACAUACUAGAGCUCAUAUUUUAUUUCAUUUUUGUAUAUUUUUCUUAUCAUGCUUGUGAGAGACAUUUAGAGGCCCAAAAAAAUCAUUAAGGAAACAAUAUUUAUAAUUAUUUAAAUAUUUUUAAAACCCAAGAAAAAACCAUCCUAGCGAUGCCCACUUCGUGUGAAAAAAAACGAUGCAUAUGACACACAUGGGUGGCCUACACUACAGGCCUAAAUGACCAUAAGAGUCUCUAGGUUUCAUGACAAGGGGGCAAGCUUUGGCCCACAAGGCCAAAGCUUCGUUAGUGGACUAACUUAUGGCCGGCUAACUAAACAUCCUAGCAAUUAUAUUUGGGUGGGAAAGUAAAAGCAGUCAAAUGUGUGUGCUAAUGUGUAACCAUUCGGAAAUACAAUGAGGAGCCUCUACAGGACUAUCAAGAUGUACCUGACCCGGGCGCGCCCACUCAAAAGUUCCCGUGCAAAUGACCCAUCAACCAACAUGUACAUAAUUCCGAAGGUACCUCAUAAGACAAAACAAAAAGAGAAGGACAUGGGUGAGCGUAGAUGCCAUUCAUUAAAGAGAUGCAAGUGAACAAAAUUUGUGACUUUAAAAUUUAUCUCAAAUGCAUAGGAAAAAGAAAGAUAGCAUGUGGGUGAAAAGUAUACAAACAAGUGAUGGUGGCAUAUAAGGUAAUGUGCGUAUUCGAAUCGUCAAAUGAAAUCAUACAUAUGAAACAUGAAGAUUCUUUCCUCUAAUGGCUAGCAAACAACUACCAAACAUAAGAUAUUUGAAAUCAUAUUAGCAUGAGUAAGGGGAGUUGCACAUGAGACAUACGACAUUUUACAAGUUUAUUCACACAUACGUGAAAUACAUGAAAGCCAAUCAACAAAAACAUACGACUAUAUAGUAUAUGUUUUAGCAUAUCCAUAAAUAUCUUUGCAAACAAACAUAUGAUUUCGCUCAACCAUGAUAUCCAAGCAUGACUUUGAAUGUAGCACUAUUUUUUUUUAGAUCAAACUUUACUAAACGUGUUCAUGUUUAUGAAAUCAUAAUAAGUUUAUAACACUAAACUUUACCUAAUAUACUCAUUUCAAUGAGAUUGUAGCAAAACCUUACUAAGAAUAUCAACAUUAAUGAAAUUAUAAAAUGAACAAUCUACUAGAUGGCAUGGAACAUAUACAUAGAUUCUAUAAAAUCACGAGCACGAGUGAUGAUCUUGAUAUGAAACGUAUGAGCUCACAAGUUAGAGAUCAAAUCAUGAAACCAAACUUGGCUUAUGUAUGCAAUGAAAUGAAUAAUCAAAUACUUGUAAACUCUAACCACCAUAUCGAAUUCAAGUUUGAUACAAGAUACCACAAAUUAAUAAAACAACCAAAUAGAUAUGCUUCAAAGGAAAUAACUUCAAGAACAUAUAUAUUUUUUUAUAUCACAUGUCUACCCUUGAUCGUCAUUUAUAAGAUGAGCACGACUAUAGACAAGAAUCAAGCAUAGGCAUGCAUGAUACACCUCCCACUAAAUCAGAACUUGCUUUGUCCCCCAUCCUUCUAUAUAUAUAAUCAAAUUACUUAUGUAUAUUAUUAUUUAAAAUUUGAAGAUGUCCAAUCGAUCAUGAGAUACGAAAGCAUACAAACAAAUCUAAUUGAAUGUUAUGAUAUGGAGUAACAAGAGCCGACCAUGAAAUUAAGGCGUGAACGUACACAUUGAUUUGAGCAUACAUACUAAGUGCAAAAUAUAGGCGAAAAAGCAAACACAAAUCAUCUUUUAUUCACAAUAUUUUCUUCCUACAACCCUCCCUUAUAAGCAAUUAUUCUCAUGUACAUUUUUAACCAAAGCUCAUUCUACAAAAGCAAACUAUAAAUUAAAUGGUGGAAUCAUAUAUACAGCCAUGAACUAAUAUCCCUUUACAGGAUGAACACAAUUGCAAGUGAAUGCAACAAAAUUAUCGUGUCUAUAAUUUUUAUAUAAAGUUCUAAUACAACUAAAGUCACUAUACUAACUAUUGAAAAGAAAUUUUCGUUAAAUGACUAAAGUGCAAGGUUAAAAUAAUGAAAUACAUGAAAAAUCUUCUAGUGUAGAUGAAAAAUAAGAAAAGAAAAUUUUAUAUCAUAUAGUCUCAAAUAUGUACGAGAAGCAUUCAAAUCAACCUGUGGAUUUUUUUUUACUUGUUACCAAAGAUUCAUGCAGUACUAUGACUCAAGCAUUUUUUUAAUUUUUUUUUCACAGUAAACAUUCCACAUGUACUAUCUCUUAGCAAAUCUAAUAAGCAUACUAACUGAUAUUUGAUCAUCAAAGCAAUGUAAUAUUUAGUCAAAUCCAAGACAGUUAUUAUUUACAAAAUACUCAUAUAUAAAAGAAAAGGGCUCUUUAUCUUAAUUAGCACGAAACGUAAAAAAAGAAACAUGUAAAUUCAACCAACAAAUACACAUACAUUUUUUUUAAUUAGGUAGAUGACCUCAUAACCAACAUACACGUGUAAGUCUACUAACAAAUCUAUGUAACUAGUGCAAAUGUGUCAAACGUAUAUAUGAAAAUCUUUAUAAUCUAGUCAUCGUUUCUUCGGAUAUACAUAUGCCUUUGGGAUUUCACAUGGAUAAGACUAGCACGUUGAUCUCUUCAAGGCAUUUAAUCAAAUACCUUACAUGCAUUUUUUAUAACAAAAAGGAUCAUGGCUUCUCAUGAUUUUUUUUUUUACAACCUAAUCAUAAAACUUCAAAUAUGUAAGAUGGUAACCAUAAAACAAAAAUACAUAAUUCAUUCAUCAAAUAGUCAUGUUACAUUAUUGAACAAAUUGUUUGCCUCUAAUACUCUCAUUCCAGACAAAUAGAAAUUACUUACAAGAAUACAUUUUCCUUACAUAGGAAGGUAAUGAAGAGGGUGGGAAAGAUGGAGAAGAAAGGAGUUAGGAAGAAGAAGAGGAGGUGGAAAAUCACCUGCAGCAAAGGGGAAAGCCGGUGGCUAGGACAGAUUGGCGACGAAGCUCUGACGGGUUCAGCUAGGAUGGGUCUCGAGCAAGCUUCGGCGGGGCUUGGGCUUCUCCUGCUCGUGCGAAUCCAAGGAAGACGAGAGCAAGGAGGCGGCAACUCCUCUGCUGGACGGACCGAUCAAAGGAUCGGGAAUGAUGGAGGGGCUUCGGCCUUUUUUUCUUGCUUGUGCGAAUAGGGGACGGAGAGAAGACCGGAGCUCGGCGUCUAGUCUUGGGGUUCACAAGCAGCAGAGAUGGAGCGGAGGGAAAUAGAGAGGCUUUGGCUUUUGCGCGAGAAAGGGACUUCGGCUCCUCUUGCGAACGGAGAAGAGACGGAGAGCGGGUGGUGGAAUUUUUCUUGAGGGAGACCAAGCUAGGGCCGGCUGUUCUGCAUGGAUGAUUGUUGUGUCUU